rnacentral:rRNA from 1 species
UACGGAGGGUGCGAGCGUUGUCCGGAAUUACUGGGCGUAAAGGGCGCGUAGGCGGCCUGGCAAGUCGAUGGUGAAAGCCCGAGGCUCAACUUCGGGUCGGCCACUGAUACUGCUAGGCUUGAGUCGGCUAGAGGCAGAUGGAAUUCCGGGUGUAGCGGUGGAAUGCGUAGAGAUCCGGAAGAACACCGGUGGCGAAGGCGGUCUGCUGGGGUCGAACUGACGCUGAGGCGCGACAGCGUGGGGAGCAAACAGG